UGAUGUUGAAGUUUCCAGUACCUCGUUGUGCAGCCCACCCACCCAUGAAGAGGCUUUUAACAUCAAAGUUUAACCUGUGGCUAAAGUAGUUCAAUUUCCGAUUGACAGUAAUAAAUGAACGGACUUUACGCACCAGUGAAAGACACCGGAUAAUCGGUAUUGUUUUAGGCUGACAAUUGGAAUUGAUGUCUCAUUACUCAUCAAUGCUAACGUCAACUGGCUGUCUAAAAUUGAUGUGAGAUGAGGCGGCUAGCGACAACAUAGCUAUUCAGCAAGCUGAAGAAUACUCAAAGGAAAGAGAAGAAAAUACUUCACUUCUCUCACUAGUUUAACGCCAAGUGGAAUUUCGUAUUUGUUUUGACGAAAUUGUGUUUAACUCGUGAGCAAAUGUCUAAAUUAUAGUUAAUCUUAGUCCAACACGCGCCACAGUUUUCCGACGCUUCAACUGGAUCAAAUAGUGACUUUUCCGCAAUGGAAUUCAAGUAAUGGGUGUGAAUUGCUGCUCGGACCUCUCUGUCUUCCCACUAUGUGGACGCGUCCCUCAGGUACCUGCUGGAGUACUACACCUACCACCUGUGUGCCUUUGACUACAGGUACCGCUACCAGCCCCCGGCCCCACUGGGCUACAAGAUGGAGGUGUGGGACAGGUCAGAGGGGGGACACACGUACUCCAAAGAGCAGCCAGCAAUCCCGAAGGGUGCCGCUGGCGAGGGCGGCGGGUGCGUCCAGGACAGACAGGAAACAGGAAGUGAUGCCUCCUGCUGCUGCAGGGGAGAAGAACCCACCUGCUGCUGCUCAGGAUGACUAGCAGUAGCAGCCAUGUGUGUGUGUGUGUGCGUAUGCUUGCCAUUUGAGCGUGCAUGUUUUACACAUCUGUGCAAAUCACCCGCACAAAAGUGAAGAGACGGUGCAAACUGUGGUGCCUCCAAAUAAGUGUUCUGUUGUGAAGGAUCUGCAAAGAAUUUCUGCUGUGAUUGCAAGAUUGGCCUUUUGGCUGUAAGUUGGUUGGGUUGUCACUGCAGCAACCCCAUCCCUUUUUAGUCCUUGUUUUAUAUUUAACAUGAAUGUUAGCUCAUACCAGUUUUAAUCCAUGUUGUUUUAAUUAUCUCAGUUCCUUAACCACUUUCUUAAGACGCAUGAAAUAAUUAUUGGAUGAUUUACUGGCUGAUUUUUGGAUUAGCUUCGCAUACCCUAGUCAAAACCUAAGCUACUUGGGGUUGAAAACCAAGCCUGGUCUUAGAUCUGCAUUAAUACCUGUAGAGACGGGUGAAAAGAGUAUCUGUAAUUAGACGUGGGAAAAAAACAGCAGUUCUUUCAGCCUCACUGAUUCCCCCCCCCCCCACUCCUUUUGGAGGGAGAAAGAGGAAUCCUAGCAGACCUGGCUUUCCCUAUUCUCUAUCAGACCCAGUAGCUUGUGCCUUGUAAAUCAUGAUUGUAAGCCCCGUCAGCUGCACAUUUUGACACUGCACUGUGACAAGUCUAAGAAUGAUCUUUUCAGAGAGGAGAUAUCUCAUUGUUUAUACAUUCCACAGAUCUCGGCCAAUAGGAAGGCCUUAUGUUGGGAGGUAGAGAUGCCUUUUGGACAUGUCGCUUGAACCUACCUGUGCAUGAUCAAUUCAGCUAUCUCUGUUGGAUUAGGUAAUAUUUCGUUCAUUUGUUUUAUUUAUACUGAACCAAAAUGUAAACGCAACAUGUAAAGUGUUGGUCCCAUCUUACAUGAGCUUAAAUAAAUGUUCCAUACGCACAAAAAGCUUAUUUCUCUAAAAUGUGUUUACAUCCCUGUUAGUGAACAUUUUUCCUUUGCUAAGGUGAUUCAUCCACUUGAUAGGUGUGGCAUAUCAAAAAGUUGAUUAAACAGCAUGAUAAUUACACAAGUGCACCUUGGCAGUACGUCCAACCGGUUUCACAACCACAGAACACUUGUAACCACACCCGCCCAGGACCUCAACAUCUGGCUUCUUCACCUGCGGAAUCGUCUGAGACCAGCCCCCCGGACAGCUGAUGAAAGAAAUUUGUAUUUCUAUCUGUAAUAAUUUCCCCUGUGUGGGAGAACUCAUUCUGAUUGUCUGGGCCUUGCUCUCCCAUGGCUGUGCCCCUGCCCUGUCAUGUGAAAUCCAUAGAUUAGGGCCUAAUUCAUUUAUUUAAAUGAACUGAUUUCCUUAUAAGAACUGUAAUGCCAUAAAAUCAGUGAAAUUGUUGCAUUUAUAUUUUUGUUCAGAAUACAGUGCCUUCAGAAAGUAUUCAGACCCAUUAACUUUUUUCACAUUUAGUUUUUUUCCUCAUCAAUCUGCACACACUAUCCCAUAAUGACAAAGCAAAAACUGUUUUUUAGAUAUGUUUUUUAAAAUUUGUAAUAAAUUAGCAAAAAUCACAGUAAGUAUUCAGACCCUUUACUCAGUACUUUGAAGCACUUUUGGCAGCAAUUACAGCAUCGAGUCUUCUCGGGGAUGACGUUACAAGCUUGGCACACCUGUAUUUGGGGAGUUUCUCCCAUUUCUUCUUUGCAGAUCUUCUCAAGCUCUGUCAGGUUGGAUGGGGAGUGUUGCUGCACAGCUGAAAAACAUCCCCACAGUCUGAUGCUGCACCCCCAUGCUUCAACUUAGGGAUGGUGCCAUGUUUCCUCCAGAUGUGACGCUUGGCAUUGAGGCCAAAUAGUUCAAUUCUGGUUUCAUCAGACCAGAGAAUCUCUUGUUUCUCAUGGUCUAAGAGUCUUUUGGUGCCAUUUGGCAUACUCCAAGCUGGCUGUCAUCUGCCUUUUACUGAGGAGUGGCUUCCGUCUGGCCACUCUACCAUAAAGGCCUGAUUGGUGGAGUGCUGCAGAGAUGGUUGUCCUUCCUAAAGGUUCUCCCAUCUCCACAGAGGAGCUCUGUCAGAGUGACCGAGACCCUUCUCCGAUUGCUCAGUUUGGCCGGGCGGUCAGCUCUAGAAAGAGUCUUGGUGGAUCCAGACUUCUUAAUUUAAGAAUGAUGGAGACCACUGUGUUCUUGGGGUCCAUCAAUGCUGCAGAAAUGUUUUGGUACCUUUCCCCAGCUCUGUGCCUCAACGCAAUUCUGUUUCUGACCUCUACGGACAAUUCCUUCAACCUCAUGGCUUGGCUUUUGCUCUGACAUGCGCUGUCAACUGUGGGGUCUUCUAUAUAGACAGGUGUGUGCCUUUCCAAAUCAUGUCCAAUCAAUUGAAUUUACCACAGGUGGACUCCAAGUUGUAGAAACAUCUUAAGGGUGAUCAAUGGAAACAGGAUGCUCCUGAGCUCAAUUUAGAGUCUCAUAGCGGAGGGUAUGAGUACUUCUGUAUAGGUAUUUCUAUUUUUUAAUAAUAAAUUAGCAAAAAUGUCAAACCUUUUUUCACCUUGCCAUUAUGGGGUAUUGUGUGUGUGGAUUGCUGUGGAUAAUUUCUUUAAAAAAAAUCAAUUUUAGAAUAAGGCUUUAACAAAAUGUGGAAAAAGUUAAGGGGUCUGAAUACUUUCCCGAGGGCACUGUAUAUGGAGGAUUGUCAGGGAUUGUGGUGCUUCUACAUACACAGAGUUUUAUUACAGAUAGAAAUACUCCUCAGUUUCUUCAGCUGUCCGGUUGGCUGGUCUGACGAUCCUUCAGGUGAUGCUGGAUUUGGAGAUCUUGGGCUGGUAUGGUUACACGUGGUCUGUAGUUGUGAGGCCAGUUUGACAUACUACCAAAUUCUCAAAAACGACGUUGGAGGUGGCUUAAGGUAGACUAAUGAACAUUCAAUUCUCUGGCAACAGCUCUGGUGGACAUUCCUGCAGUCAGCAUGCCAACUUCCUGCUCCCUCAAAACGUGAGACAUAUGUGGCAUUGUGUUGUGACAAAACUGCACAUUUUAGCAGCUCUGUGUAAUGAUCAUACUGUUUAAUCAGCUUCUUGAUAUGCCACACCUGUCGGGUGGAUGGAUUAUCUUGGCAAAGGAGAAAUGCUCACUAACACGGAUGUAAACAAAUUUGUUCACAAAAUUGGAGAGAAGGAAGCUUUUUGUGCAUAUGGAACAUUUCUGGGAUCUUUUAUUUCAGCUCAUGAAACAUGGGACCAACACUUUAAAUGUUGCGUUCUAUAUUUUGGUUCUGUGUAGUUUACAUUCUUGUCAAAGGGAACAGUGUACAGGACUCUGUUUUAUUUAUGUAUAUGUAUGUUUAAGAAGAGUUAGAGUUAAAUGUAAUCAAUUUAAUGAAAAGUGCUUUAACCAGCAUAUUAAAGAAAGACAUUUUACUUUUA